rnacentral:rRNA from 1 species
GAUGAACGCUGGCUACAGGCUUAACACAUGCAAGUCGUGGGGAAACGGCAUUAUGUGCUUGCACAUUCUGGACGUCGACCGGCGCACGGGUGAGUAUCGCGUAUCCAACCUGCCCCUUACUUGGGGAUACCCCGUUGAAAGACGGCCUAAUACCCGAUGUGUUUCAUUGACGGCAUCCGAUAUGAAACAAAGGUUUUUCCGGUAAGGGAUGGGGAUGCGUCUGAUUAGCUAGUUGGCGGGGCAACGGCCCACCAAGGCGACGAUCAGUAGGGGUUCUGAGAGGAAGGUCCCCCACAUUGGAACUGAGACACGGUCCAAACUCCUACGGGAGGCAGCAGUGAGGAAUAUUGGUCAAUGGACGCAAGUCUGAACCAGCCAAGUAGCGUGCAGGAUGACGGCCCUAUGGGUUGUAAACUGCUUUUAUGUGGGAAUAAAUUGGCGCACGUGUGCGCCAUUGCAUGUACCUCAUGAAUAAGGACCGGCUAAUUCCGUGCCAGCAGCCGCGGUAAUACGGAAGGUCCGGGCGUUAUCCGGAUUUAUUGGGUUUAAAGGGAGUGUAGGCGGUCUGUUAAGCGUGUUGUGAAAUUUAGGUGCUCAACAUUUAACUUGCAGCGCGAACUGUCAGACUUGAGUACACGCAGCGCAGGCGGAAUUCAUGGUGUAGCGGUGAAAUGCUUAGAUAUCAUGAGGAACUCCGAUCGCGAAGGCAGCCUGCGGGAGUGUUACUGACGCGAAGCUCGAAGGUGCGGGUAUCGAACAGG